UACGUAGGUGGCAAGCGUUGUCCGGAUUUAUUGGGUUUAAAGGGUGCGUAGGCGGCCCUGUAAGUCAGUACUGAAAUAUCCCGGCUUAACCGGGAGGGUGGCAUUGAUACUGCAGGGCUUGAGUACAGAUGAAGUAGGCGGAAUUGACGGUGUAGCGGUGAAAUGCAUAGAUAUCGUCAAGAACACCGAUAGCGAAGGCAGCUUACUAAGCUGUAACUGACGCUGAGGCACGAAAGUGUGGGGAUCAAACAGG
rnacentral:rRNA from 1 species